rnacentral:rRNA from 1 species
UACGAAGGGGGCUAGCGUUGCUCGGAAUCACUGGGCGUAAAGGGUGCGUAGGCGGGUCUUAAGUCAGGGGUGAAAUCCUGGAGCUCAACUCCAGAACUGCCUCGAUACUGGAGAGCUCGAGUCCGGGAGAGGUGAGUGGAACUGCGAGUGUAGAGGUGAAAUUCGUAGAUAUUCGCAAGAACACCAGUGGCGAAGGCGGCUCACUGGCCCGGUACUGACGCUGAGGUGCGAAAGCGUGGGGAGCAAACAGG